CUAAUUGUAAAACUGUGACAGCCCGAGAAUCCGGGGGCCUGGAUUCUGACGUCACCACAUAAAACCCAUUUUUAAACACUUUUGAAAUCCUGUAUAUAUUUUUUUUUUUUCAAAAGAUAAUAAAAUCAGAGAGUUUAAAACUUGAAAGCCAUAAUAAGAGAAUUUCAAGAGAACAUUUAAACUUUAAUAAAUGAUUCGAAAGAGAACAUUUAAACCCCCUAAAAGCAACAGGAUCGCAUUCAGGUUACAGUAUUGAAAUUAGAAUCUACCACUAUUAUUACACAACAUCUCUUACCAAAUCAGAUCAUCUUCGAUAAGAAGAAUCACUGCCAACUAUUCCAGCUAUGACUUACACUUGAAUCUCUAUAGCACAGCUUUAGCUUGCACCAACCUCAUCAACUUUCCUGAACACUCCUCGACCACUGGAUCCUCAACUCUGUCUCCUCGCCUAGCAUUAGCCUUAUUCACAAUCUCAAUCAAUCAUCUCAUCUUUAAGCCUUUCUGAAAUGGUUAGAAAGGAAUAGCAAGGGUGAGCAACAAUGCUCAGCAAGUAAUAAUAAACAAUGAUAGUUCUGAAAUGAUAUAACAGAAGUUCACGAGUUCAAGAUAUAAGAGGAUUCAACCUGAGUUCACGAGUUUAGGUAUUGUAUAAGAAUAUCACAAUACCUUGUAGCAAUUGAACACUGAGGAAUUCAAUCUUUCCAAAAGAAUUAUUGAAUUGGACUAUCACAUUUUAAUUAAAACCAAGGUUAGGCAGCUGAUCAGUUCCGCACUAACCCCGAGCAGGCCCCGCCAUGCUCUAUCACUGGAUCCAAGGCACUCAUUGGCCUAACAUGACCACGAAUCUGGUCCACAGGUUUAUAUAAAAACAAUAAUCCAAUUCUCUAAUUCAAUUCAAGAAGCCAAUGUAAAUUAACAGAACAUCAUCAUAAAUAUCAUCAACAACAGAAUAAUUCCAAUUCAAACUUUGAUAAUAAUCUAUUCAUAAAUCAUGAUCCAUCAUUUCAUAAAUCACAGUUCAGGAAAUCCUCAACUAUUCAGUAUCCUCCAUUAUCGGCUAAGCAACUGAAUUUAGCCUGCUAAACCAGCAUGACAAUGGCGGGUUGAAUAAUCAAGAAGAUCCCAAUUCAUUCAAAGCUCUAACUAUCACUGAGCAACACAUGCUUCAAUGACAAUCUGAACUUCGAAUUAAUUUGUAAAACGGAAAUUCUUUAGAAACUUGAAGAUUAGAAAGAAUGGGUCAGAAUACUCGCACUUUCGAACAUUGAAAAGAAAGGUAUGAAUACUUGAAACAUAUACCAAAGGAAUGGAUCAGAAUAUUUGCAAUAUAUCCAAGAGAAAGGUUUAGGAUACUUGCCUUAAAUCUGACUCCA
rnacentral:lncRNA from 1 species